rnacentral:rRNA from 1 species
CUAUGAGGAAUUUAGCUUGCUAAAUGGACUCAUGGCGGACGGGUGAGUAACGCGUAAAGAACUUGCCCUUUAGACUGGGAUAACAGAGGGAAACUUCUGAUAAUACUGGAUAAGUUAGUAUAUCGCAUGAUAUGCAAAUGAAAGCUACGGCACUAAAGGAGAGCUUUGCGUCCUAUUAGCUAGUUGGUAAGGUAAGAGCUUACCAAGGCGAUGAUAGGUAGCCGGCCUGAGAGGGUGGACGGCCACAAGGGGACUGAGAUACGGCCCUUACUCCUACGGGAGGCAGCAGUGGGGAAUAUUGGACAAUGGAGGGAACUCUGAUCCAGCAAUUCUGUGUGUGUGAAGAAGGUUUUAGGACUGUAAAACACUUUUAGUAGGGAAGAAAAAAAUGACGGUACCUACAGAAGAAGCAACGGCUAAAUACGUGCCAGCAGCCGCGGUAAUACGUAUGUUGCGAGCGUUAUCCGGAAUUAUUGGGCUUAAAGGGCAUCUAGGCGGUAAGACAAGUUGAAGGUGAAAACCUGUGGCUCAACCAUAGGCUUGCCUACAAAACUGUUGAACUAGAGUACUGGAAAGGUGGGUGGAACUACACGAGUAGAGGUGAAAUUCGUAGAUAUGUGUAGGAAUGCCGAUGAUGAAGAUAACUCACUGGACAGAAACUGACGCUGAAGUGCGAAAGCUAGGGGAGCAAACAGGAUUAGAUACCCUGGUAGUCCUAGCUGUAAACGAUGAUCACUGGGUGUGGGGAUGCGAAGUCUCUGUGCCGAAGCAAAAGCGAUAAGUGAUCCGCCUGGGGAGUACGUUCGCAAGAAUGAAACUCAAAGGAAUUGACGGGGGCCCGCACAAGUGGUGGAGCAUGUGGUUUAAU